rnacentral:lncRNA from 1 species
UUGUGUAUUUUCCAGCAGCAGCUGAAGACCUCUGCUGGUGCCUCAGAGUUUGUAUAUUCCUUCAAACCUCACUUUUUGACUCAACUCCACGAAGGGUUAACCAUCAACGUAGCAGUUCUUGGCCUGCUGCAUAACUCUUACAAUCCUCUAUCCUUCUCACCAUCUUCUGCUGCUCUCCUCUUUCUUUUAUUGCAAUUUUCUUUCCGCCAUUGCUGCACUUUAGUUGUUUCCUACCCAAAAAUAAUGACUUGUUUUCACCUUAUCGGAGCCAUCUCCCAAUUUGCCAGGUUUGGAGACUUCUCCAUUCAAUCAUUACAUCUUCUCACUGCUCCUAAGGACAUUGUUUUUGCACUCAGUGCUCCCCAACAUUCAUUCCAGCCAUUUCCAGAUCAGUCUAACUACUUUGUGACCCUGAUUGGUGCAUUGUUAUCAGCACCUUCACUGCCUUAAUCACAACUCCAUUCCCUGCACCUUUCCAUCCCUACUGCAUCACAGAAAUCUUCCAUUAUCCCACUUACCAACCUUCCUUCUGCUAUAAAUUCAUUGCCUAUAUUAUACAGAAAAAUGCACAAAGUGCAGCUCAGACAAACUCUGCCUUCUGACGUCCUACAUUGUGUUCGUAAGGAAACUCCUAC